rnacentral:rRNA from 1 species
CCUACGGGAGGCAGCAGUGAGGAAUAUUGGUCAAUGGGCGCUAGCCUGAACCAGCCAAGUAGCGUGAAGGAUGACUGCCCUAUGGGUUGUAAACUUCUUUUAUAUGGGAAUAAAGUGCAGUAUGUAUACUGCUUUGCAUGUACCUUAUGAAUAAGGAUCGGCUAACUCCGUGCCAGCAGCCGCGGUAAUACGGAGGAUCCGAGCGUUAUCCGGAUUUAUUGGGGUUAAAGGGGGCGUAGGCGGGUUGUUAAGUCAGUUGUGAAAGUUUGCGGCUCAACCGUAAAAUUGCAGUUGAUACUGGCAGCCUUGAGUACAGUAGAGGUAGGCGGAAUGCGUGGUGUAGCGGUGAAAUGCUUAGAUAUCACGAAGAACUCCGAUUGCGAAGGCAGCCUGCUGGACUGUAACUGACGCUGAUGCUCGAAAGUGUGGGUAUCAAACAGGAUUAGAUACCCUUGUAGUC